rnacentral:rRNA from 1 species
CGUUAGCGGCGGACGGGUGAGUAACACGUGGGUAACCUACCUAUAAGACUGGGAUAACUUCGGGAAACCGGAGCUAAUACCGGAUAAUAUUUCGAACCGCAUGGUUCGAUAGUGAAAGAUGGUUUUGCUAUCACUUAUAGAUGGACCUGCGCCGUAUUAGCUAGUUGGUAAGGUAACGGCUUACCAAGGCGACGAUACGUAGCCGACAUGAGAGGGUGAUCGGCCACACUGGAACUGAGACACGGUCCAGACUCCUACGGGAGGCAGCAGCC